GGGCCUAAGGGGGGUGUGACAGGUUGGGAGAGCGGCGAUUGGUCUGCUGGCAAAGAAGGCGUGGCUUACAGGGAGAGAGGCAGGAACAGCGCGAGGCGGCUGCGGGAAGCGCGCGAGGCGAGCGCUGAUUGGUCGGACUGGCUGAGGGGGCAGGGCGCCGCGCGAGAGUGCGCGCGGGGAUUGGCUGGACCCUCUGGGGGCGGAGCCUCUCCCCCUCGGUGGGCGGGGCUGCGGCGUGGCCGGAAGCGGAAGUGCUGUGCAGGUGCCACCAUGGCGGCCCCGGGGACGGUGGACGGGGGAGGCUCCGGAGACUCCACGGGGCCCGCGACGGUGUCGCGGCGGGUGAAGUACGCCAGCCUGGGCGUGCUGGUGCUGCAGAACGCGUCGCUGGUGCUCAGCAUCCGCUACGUGCGCACCCUGCCUGGGGAGAGAUUCCUGCCCACCACGGCCGUGGUGAUGGCCGAGGCCAUGAAGGGCAGCGCCUGCCUGCUGCUGCUGCUGAUCCAGCACCGGGGCAGCGUCCGGCAGACGGCGGUGACGCUGCACGAGGCCGUGGUGGGACAGUUUGGGGACACGCUGCGCCUGGCUGUCCCCUCCCUCAUCUACACCCUGCAGAACAACCUGCAGUACGUGGCCAUCUCCAACCUGCCUGCUGCCACCUUCCAGGUGACCUACCAGCUGAAGAUCCUGACCACGGCGCUGUUCUCGGUGCUGCUGCUGGGCACGGCGCUGUCGCGGCUGCAGUGGCUGUCGCUGGCGCUGCUCUUCGCGGGGGUGGCGCUGGUGCAGGCGGAGCAGGCUCGGGCAGUGCCAACCCCGGGGGCGCUGGCACCGUCGGCGGGCCCCGAGGUGCCCCCUCAGAGCUACGCCGUGGGGCUGGCGGCCGUGGCCGCCUCCUGCCUGUCCUCGGGCUUCGCCGGCGUCUACUUCGAGCGGCUGCUGAAGCGCUCGGGCGGCUCCAUCUGGCUGCGCAACGUUCAGCUGGGCGCCGUGGGCACGGCCGUGGGGCUGGGCGCCAUGCUGGCCGCCGAGGGCCCGGCCGUGGCCGCGCUCGGCUUCUUCUACGGCUACAACGGCGCCGUCUGGGCCGUGGUGGUCAACCAGGCGGCCGGGGGGCUGCUGGUGGCCGUGGUGGUUCGCUACGCCGACAACAUCCUCAAGGGGUUCGCCACGGCGCUCUCCAUCCUGGCCUCCACGGCCGCCUCGGCGCAUCUGUUCGGGUUCCGGCCGCGGGCGCCCUUCCUGGCCGGCACCGCCAUGGUGCUCGCCGCCGUCGUGCUCUACGGGCGGCCCCGCGCCAGCCAGGGCGGCCCCGGCCGCGGGCAGGACGGCGGCAAGUCAGUGGGAGCCUAGGGGGGACAGAGGGACACGGGAGGGGAGGGACGGGAUGGACGGGGCCGUGAGCGGGGCGGGGAGCCCGGAGGGGCAGCAGGUGACAGUGCCCAGGUCAGGGGGCAGCAGGUGAGGGGCAGCAGGUCAGGGGUGAGCAGGUGACAGUGCCCAGGUGACAGUGCCCAGGUCAGGGGGCAGCAGGUGAGGGGUGAGCUGGUGACAGUGCCCAGGUGACAGUGCCCAGGUGAGGGGACAGCAGGUCAGGGGUGAGCAGCUGACAGUGCCCAGGUUAGGGGGCAGCAGGGUGAGGGUGCCCAGGUGAGGGUGAGCAGGUCAGGGGUGAGCAGGUCAGGGGUGAGCAGGUCAGGGUGCCCAGGUGAGGGGGCAGCAGGUGAGGGGUGAGCAUGUGACACUGCCCAGGUGACAGUGCCCAGGUGAGGGGUGAGCAGGUGACAGUGCCCAGGUGAGGGUGCCCAGGUGAGAGGAGCCAGGUGAGGGCGAGCAGGUGAAGGGCAGCAGGUGGCAGAGCCUCAUUAGGGCUCAAUAGCCUUAUUAGAGCUCAUUAGGGCUCGCUAGUCUCAUUAGGGCUCGUUAGGGCUCGCUAGUCUCAUUAGGGCUCAUUAGGGCUCGUUAGUCUCAUUAGGGCUCAUUAGUAUGGUGGAGGAGCUUGGGGGUGCCCAGGGGUCAGCAGGUGAGGGGACCCAGCUGUGGGGGCAGCAGGGCCUCAUUAGGGCUCCCUAGAGCUCAUUAAGGCUCGUUAGGCUCAUUAGGGCUGGUUAGGAUGGGGGAGGAGCUGGGGGGUCCCCAGGGUCAGCAGGGGGACCCCGAUUUUGGGUGGUGGGGACUCAUUAGGCUCAUUAGCUGUAGGGAGCUCAUUAAGGCUCAUUAGUGACCUGCAGAGGCUCGUUAGUUAUGGGCAGCUAAUUAAGGCUCAUUGGGUGACCCCGAGGUGGAGAUUGAUGAGGUCAGAGGUUAAUGAGGUUAAUGAAGGAGCUUUGGGUUAACGAGGUCAGAGCUUAAUGAGAUCAGAGCUUAAUGAGGCCAGCAGGGUUAAUGAGAUCAGUGGGGUUAAUGAGGUUAAUGAAGGAGCUCUGGGUUAACAAGGUCAGAGGUUAAUGUGGUCAGAGGUUAAUGAGAUCAGUGGGGUUAAUGAGGUCAGUGGGGUUAAUGAGAUCAGUGGGGUUAAUGAAGUUAAUGAAGGAGCUCUGGGUUAACGAGGUCAGAGCUUAAUGAGGUCAGUGGGGUUAAUGAGGUCAGAGCUUAAUGAGCCCAGCAGGGUUAAUGAGGCCAGCAGGGUUAAUGAGGUUAAUGAAGGAGCUUUGGGCUAACGAGGUCAGAGGUCAAUGAGGUCAGAGGUUAAUGAGGUCAGCAGGGUUAAUGAAGGAGCUCUGGGUUAAUGAGGUUAAUGAAGGAUUAAUGAGGGGCUCACUGGGACCCCGCCCCCUCUGUGGGGAUCCCCUCCCCCCCCCGCCCCCUGCCCACUGGGGGAGGGGCCGAUGUACAGAUUUUGUAGGGGGGAGGGGCCGGGCGUGUUUUUAACGAGCUUUGGGGCUAAUAAAGGCGGAUUUGGUUAAAGCGCGUGCUGGGGGGGCACUAACACACUAACAUGGGAUGUAUGGGAUCCAUAGGGACUGUAUGGGAUCCAUAGGGACUGCCCCGGGGCUGCAUGGGAUCCAUAGGGACUGCCCGGGGCUGUGUGGGAUCCAUAGGGACUGCCCGGGGCUGUGUGGGGAUCCAUAGGGACUGCCCGGGGCUGUGUGGGAUCCAUAGGGACUGUCUGGGGCCUAUGGGAUCCAUAGGCACUGCCCGGGGCUGUAUGGGAUCCAUAGGGACUGCCCAGGGCCAUAUGGGACCCAUAGGUUCUCCCCCCAGGCCAUAUAGGAUCCAUAGGUUCCCCCCAGGGCCGUGAGGGACCCCACCGAGCUCUCGCAGACCCCUCUGGAGCCCCCCGGGCCCUAUAGGAUCCAUAGGUCCCUAUAGGAUCCAUAGGGCCGCUCAGGGUCUCUCUCUCUUGCAGGUCUCCCAGCAAGGCCAAGGGCACCUGACGGCACCGAGCCACCCCGGGCCCUAUAGAGGCUAUAGGGGCACUAUAGGAUCCAUAUGGACCCUCUCUAGGGGCCCUGUGCCCCCGCCGGGACCCCUCAGUCCCUAUAGCUGCCAUAUGGCCGCUCCCCUCCCGGGGGCUAUAGGGACCCUCCCCAGUCCCUAUAGGCGCCAUAUGGACCCUCCCCAGACCCUAUAGGCGCCAUAUGGACCCCUCAGUCCCUACAGGGGCUAUAGGGACUGCCCCCCCACCCCGUUCCUAUAGGGGCCAUAUGGACCCUCCCCAGUCCCUAUGGAGGACUCAAUGACACUCCUGCCAUAGGAGCCCUAUGGCCGCCUCCCCCUCACCCGGGGGCUAUAGGGGAUCCCCGCAGGUCCCUAUAGGGGCCAUAUGGACCCCUCAUUCCCUAUAGGGUCCAUAGGUCCCCGCGCGGGUUUGGGGUGAAUGAAGAGGAUUUUGGUUCAA